rnacentral:rRNA from 1 species
AGAGUUUGAUCCUGGCUCAGGAUGAACGCUAGCGGCAGGCUUAACACAUGCAAGUCGAGGGGCAGCACAUGACGUAGCAAUACAGAUGGUGGCGACCGGCGCACGGGUGAGUAACACGUAUGCAACCUACCUUCCACAGGGCGAUAACCCGUUGAAAAACGGACUAAUAGUCCAUAAUACAGGGAUCCCGCAUGGGAAUAUUUGUUAAAGAUUUUUUCGGUAGAGGAUGGGCAUGCGCUCCAUUAGCCAGAUGGUGAGGUAACGGCUCACCAUAGCAACGAUGUCUAGGGGUUUUGAGAGGAAGGCCCCCCACACUGGGACUGAGACACGGCCCAGACUCCUACGGGAGGCAGCAGUGAGGAAUAUUGGACAAUGGAUGGAAAUCUGAUCCAGCCAUGCCGCGUGCAGGAAGACGGCCUUAUGGGUUGUAAACUGCUUUUAUACGGGAGCAAUAAGGGUUACGAGUAAUCCGAUGAGAGUACUGUAUGAAUAAGGAUCGGCUAACUCCGUGCCAGCAGCCGCGGUAAUACGGAGGAUCCGAGCGUUAUCCGGAAUUAUUGGGUUUAAAGGGUGCGUAGGCGGCCAUUUAAGUCAGCGGUGAAAUUUUGCAGCUUAACUGUAACAGUGCCGUUGAUACUGUUUGGCUAGGAUUUGGUUGUAGUGUGCGGAAUGUGUGGUGUAGCGGUGAAAUGCUUAGAUAUCACACAGAACACCGAUUGCGAAGGCAGCACACUAAGUCAUUAUUGACGCUGAGGCACGAAAGUGUGGGGAUCAAACGAGGAUUAGAUACCCUGGUAGUCCACACUG